rnacentral:rRNA from 1 species
UUUGGAAAAGCCCCCCGAGGCUUAAACCUUGGGGAAAUUGCAUUUUGAAAUUGGUUGGGUUAGAGUUUUUGUAGAGGGGGGGGUAGAAUUUUCCCUGUGUAGGCGGUGAAAAUGCGUAGAGAUGUGGAGGAAAUACCGGGUGGGGAAGGCGGCCCCCCUGGACAAAGACUUGACGCUCAGGUGCGAAAGCGUGGGGAGCAAACAGGAUUAGAUACCCUGGUAGUUCACGCUGUAAACGAUGUUGAUUUUGAGGUUGUGGUCUUGAACCGUGGCUUUUGGAGUAACGCGUUAAAUUGACCGCCUGGGGAGUACGGCCGCAAGGUUAAAACUCAAAUGAAUUGACGGGGGCCCGCACAAGCGGUGGAGCAUGUGGUUUAAUUCGAUGCAACGCGAAGAACCUUACCUACUUUUGACAUCCAGAGAAUCCUUUAGAGAUAGAGGAGUGCCUUUGGGAACUUUGAGACAGGUGCUGCAUGGCUGUCGUCAGCUCGUGUUGUGAAAUGUUGGGUUAAGUCCCGCAACGAGCGCAACCCUUAUCCUUUGUUGCCAGCACGUGAUGGCGGGAACUCAAAGGAGACUGCCGGUGAUAAACCGGAGGAAGGUGGGGAUGACGUCAAGUCAUCAUGGCCCUUACGAGUAGGGCUACACACGUGCUACAAUGGCAGAUACAAAGAGAAGGGACCUCGCGAGAGCAAGCGGAACUCAUAAAGUCUUUUUGUAAUCCGGAUUGGAGUCUGCAACUCGACUUCCAUGAAGUCGGAAUCGCUAGUAAUUGGAGAUCCAAAAAUUUUAUACGUGUUCGG